CAGCAGUUGUAUUAUGCAGCAUCUGCAAAAUAGGAUUAUAAUUUACUGCCAUUUGUCUUAUUUUUCCGAGGGCACUAAGAGAAAUAAUAGCGAUCGUGUCCAAUGACAAGACCAGAAUAAAAUAUAAAUCUGCAAAAUCUGUCGUUUAAGACCCACGGUGGAGCGCACGUUUCUGAAGCUAAAUCUAGUUCCGUCGAAUGUGCUUUGGUCAGUAGUUACGUCCCCCAUUCGCAUCCACCGGUUCUCUGGUGACUCACAAUGGCUUUGUUCCGGAAACAGACAGAUCAUCAGAUCUGUACCGACUAACGAAACAGAAAAGUGCACUGCUAAGGGCUACAAGGACGCAGACAGUGGAGAAAUGAAUAGAAAAUGGAAUGUAGUAUUACCAGGACUCGACGAUAUGGAACUACACACAAAGAUGACUCGGAGGCUGAGGCCUAUAAUCCUCAUUUUUAUCUGGUGAACAGUGAGGUCACUGAACUUCACAGUUGUUGAAGUGGCUUUAACCUUCUUGGACAAGCUGCUUUUCAGAUUGUGGAUAACAACAUCUUCAGUUCCACGUAAAGUGUCAAUCUGGAAAGAAAAUCAGCGCAAGACCUUGGACAUUCUGACCUGCUGAUCAGCAGAAUCCAAUCUCUUCUUAUCUGACCCCAAUCUCUGAACUUGACCUUUGAGAGAGAACUGGAUAUUCUCUGUAAUAUGGACAUCUGUGCCACGAAACGUCAAUUAUGAACAAAAGUUGUUACCACCCAAACUAUGAGAUUGUAUAUGGGAUAUAAUGCACUACAUGGCCAAAUGUUUGUGGACACCUGGCAUACAACAUCUCAUCCAAAAUUAUGGGCAUUCAUGUGGAGUUGGUCCACCCUUUGCAGCUGUAACAACCUCCACUCUUCUGGGAAGGCUUUAUACUAGAUGCUGGAGCAUUGCUGCAGGGAUUUGCUUCCAUUCAGCCUGAAGAGCAUUAGUGAGGUCAGGCACUGAUUGGGCAAUUAUGCCAGGCUCGCAGUUUGCUUGCAGAUGCCUUGCUUUCCAAUAGAUCCUAAAGGUGUUGAAUGGGAUUGAGGUCAGUGCUCUGGGCAGGCCAGUCAAAUUCUUCCACACAAACCAUUUAUAUAAGGACCUCGGUGUGUGCCCAGGGGCAUUGUCAUUCUGAAACAGGAAAGGGCCUGCCUUCCCCAAAAUGUUGAGGAAGCACAGAAUCUUCUAGAAUGUGAAUGUGUACUGUAGCAUUAAGAUUUGCCUUCACUGGAAUUAAGAGGCCUGGCCCAAACCAUGAAAAACAGCCCCAGACCAAAGUGUCCAGUCA